rnacentral:sRNA from 1 species
AUGCAGGCAAGAUGGCGGAAGGGGAGGACGUGGGAUGGUGGCGGAGCUGGCUGCAGCAGAGCUACCAAGCAGUCAAAGAGAAGGUAAGCCGGGCCCGUGCCCUUCUUCCUUCACCAGGGCCCUGCGCCGCCUCAAUGCAACCUGGUCCAACCAGCCCCGCCCAACUUUUGCGGGCGCUAGGUCUCAAGGAUGAGGCUGACCUGGGCCUUUCUUUCAGCCUCUACCGGUCCACGGGAAAACAGACUUCGACGCAAACCAGUGUGAUACUAGCCACAGUGAAAUAAAGAUGGUUUUAAAGGCUGGAGUUAACGAACGUUUUGUAGGAAUCCAUAGGAAGGAGCAAUUAUUCCAGCUCAGGAAAUUCAGUUUCUUCGUGAAAGAGAGAACAUUUGAUACAGGUCUUGAAGGAAAAGAUUCUAGCAAUAAAAAAAACUUACUCGUAUAGUCAUUCAAAUAUUAGAGUAUAUGCGACAACCAGCACUCUGAUAGGUCUUGAGGAUACAGACUUCAGCCAAACAGAUGUAAUCCUGGGCCUUACAAAGCUCACAGUCUAGUGGGGAGA